rnacentral:misc_RNA from 1 species
AUCUAGUUUGGGUUAUAGGAUGCCAUUGUUUGGUAAAUUUCACUCGGUGCAUCUUCUAAUGAAGCAGUUGAUUAGAUGAUAUUUGCCGCCGUAAAUCUCUUUCUUCUGGAGGAGUGCCUAUGUUACUGUGAUUAUUGAAGUCAGGUUACCAUAAAUGGUUCUGAAGUCAUCUCUGCAGGUGACCAACAGUACUCUAUAUUGCACUGUUGUGUGCUCAACUUAGUUACCUUGGUAUUUUCAUCCAUGACUUGAUAAGAUAUCCUCACUUGUAGACAACAAUUUUCUCUUUCGUGAGAACUUUACCAAUUAUGAUUUGGUUCUAGCACCUGUUUAUUUUUCCAUUUUUGCUGUCCAGAUCUCCUGUGGGAAUGAUUUGGAA